UGAGUAACACGUGGGUGAUCUACCCUGCACUUCGGGAUAAGCCUGGGAAACUGGGUCUAAUACCGGAUAGGACCAUGAGAUGCAUGUCUUAUGGUGGAAAGCUUUUGCGGUGUGGGAUGGGCCCGCGGCCUAUCAGCUUGUUGGUGGGGUGACGGCCUACCAAGGCGACGACGGGUAGCCGGCCUGAGAGGGUGUCCGGCCACACUGGGACUGAGAUACGGCCCAGACUCCUACGGGAGGCAGCAGUGGGGAAUAUUGCACAAUGGGCGCAAGCCUGAUGCAGCGACGCCGCGUGGGGGAUGACGGCCUUCGGGUUGUAAACCUCUUUCAGCAGGGACGAAGCGCAAGUGACGGUACCUGCAGAAGAAGCACCGGCCAACUACGUGCCAGCAGCCGCGGUAAUACGUAGGGUGCGAGCGUUGUCCGGAAUUACUGGGCGUAAAGAGCUCGUAGGUGGUUUGUCGCGUUGUUCGUGAAAACCGGGGGCUUAACCCUCGGCGUGCGGGCGAUACGGGCAGACUGGAGUACUGCAGGGGAGACUGGAAUUCCUGGUGUAGCGGUGGAAUGCGCAGAUAUCAGGAGGAACACCGGUGGCGAAGGCGGGUCUCUGGGCAGUAACUGACGCUGAGGAGCGAAAGCGUGGGGAGCGAACAGGAUUAGAUACCCUGGUAGUCCACGCCGUAAACGGUGGGUACUAGGUGUGGGUUUCCUUCCUUGGGAUCCGUGCCGUAGCUAACGCAUUAAGUACCCCGCCUGGGGAGUACGGCCGCAAGGCUAAAACUCAAAGGAAUUGACGGGGGGCCCGCACAA
rnacentral:rRNA from 1 species